rnacentral:lncRNA from 1 species
CAGGUAAAGGUGAGAGGCAGGUGAACAGACAGGUGACAGGUAAAGGUGAGAGGCAGGUGAACAGAGACAGGUGACAGGUAAAGGUGAGAGGCAGGUGAACAGACAGGUGACAGGUAAAGGUGAGAGGCAGGUGAACAGACAGGUGACAGGUAAAGGUGAGAGGCAGGUGAACAGAGACAGGUGACAGGGUAAGGUGAGAGGCAGGUGAACAGAGACAGGUGACAGGGUAAGGUGAGAGGCAGGUGAACAGAGACAGGUGACAGGUAAAGGUGAGAGGCAGGUGAACAGACAGGUGACAGGUAAAGGUGAGAGGCAGGUGAACAGAGACAGGUGACAGGUAAAGGUGAGAGGCAGGUGAACAGACAGGUGACAGGUAAAGGUGAGAGGCAGGUGAACAGACAGGUGACAGGUAAAGAUGAGAGGCAGGUGAACAGACAGGUGACAGGUAAAGGUGAGAGGCAGGUGAACAGACAGGUGACAGGGUAAGGUGAGAGGCAGGUGAACAGACAGGUGACAGGUAAAGGUGAGAGGCAGGUGAACAGACAGGUGACAGGGUAAGGUGAGAGGCAGGUGAACAGAGACAGGUGACAGGGUAAGGUGAGAGGCAGGUGAACAGACAGGUGACAGGUAAAGGUGAGAGGCAGGUGAACAGAGACAGGUGACAGGGUAAGGUGAGAGGCAGGUGAACAGACAGGUGACAGGUAAAGGUGAGAGGCAGGUGAACAGAGACAGGUGACAGGUAAAGGUGAGAGGCAGGUGAACAGACAGGUGACAGGUAAAGGUGAGAGGCAGGUGAACAGACAGGUGACAGGUAAAGGUGAGAGGCAGGUGAACAGAC